AGAGUUUGAUCAUGGCUCAGAACAAACGCUGGCGGCGUGCCUAAUACAUGCAAGUCGAACGAGGAAAGCUUUCGGGUGAGUACUAGUGGCGCACGGGUGAGGAAUACAUGGGUAAUCUGCCCUCGAGUUGGGGAUAACCAGUCGAAAGAUUGGCUAAUACCGGAUAAGACCACAGGAUCUGCGGAUCUAGGGGUUAAAGGUUUUUCGCUUGAGGAUGAGCCCAUGUGGGAUUAGCUAGUUGGUGAGGUAAUGGCUCACCAAGGCGACGAUCCCUAACUGGUCUUAGAGGAUGAUCAGUCACACUGGAACUGAGACACGGUCCAGACUCCUACGGGAGGCAGCAGUAGGGAAUAUUGCACAAUGGAGGAAACUCUGAUGCAGCGACGCCGCGUGAGUGAUGAAGGCCUUCGGGUCGUAAAGCUCUGUCGUAUGGGACUAACAAAAUGAAGGUACCAUGCAAGAAAGGAUCGGCUAACUUCGUGCCAGCAGCCGCGGUAAGACGAGGGAUCCUAGC
rnacentral:rRNA from 1 species